GCUUCAAAUUCAUUCCCAUCUUGAGUGUACAAAUUCUGCAGGCAUGGCUGUUGUUUUGUCUUGUAGCGUAGACAGAAAACAGAGUAGUGGAGGUAGUGGUUGUACACUUGUACUUUGUCAACUCUAUUAAUGAGAGACAAGUGCUCAGUGCUAUCCAUAUAUCCGUUGAUACCUCCCUUUCAAUUCUUCGUUCUUCUUUGAUAAGACUGAAUUGAGAAUCAGCUACUUUGAAUCUUCAGUUUGAUUAAAGGAUCAAACGUAGCUUCUGGUGAAGAUAUUGCUUCUGAUAAAAACUUUUGCUUCUGAUGACCUUCUGCUUCUGAUGACGUCAUCUCUUCAGGAUCACUUCAGCUUCAGGAGCAGUUUUCUUCAGAUGCUCAGAAUUUCUUUUUCUUUCCAUUGUUCUUCCAAGACCUAUUGAAAUAACUUGAGUAGCCUUUGGUCCUGUACACUUGAACAAUUAUUAGUAAUAACCAAUUGACAAUUUUUAAUACCUUGU
rnacentral:lncRNA from 1 species